AAAUCUUAACAUAUAAAUUACAAACACCUAAACAUUUUCUUAAAAAAGUUCUAAAAUCUAAACAUAAACUUUAAAAUUCUAAUCUUUUUAUACUAUAACCUCAAAUCUUAAAAUUAAAAUCAAAAUUUCAUCUUUUAAUCGUAUUCUAUAACUUUCAAAACACAAACCUUAAAUUUUCAUUCUAUAAUUCAUCAUCAUUCUAUAAUAAAACUAUAUUCUAUAAUUAAACUCUAUUUUGAAACAUAAGCCAUACUUCUCAAACAUUGUCUUGAUCAUAUACCCUACAUAAAACAAACUCACCAUACCUUCUAU
rnacentral:lncRNA from 1 species